UUGUGCCCUUGAGGCGUGGCUUCCGGAGCUAACGCGUUAAGUCGACCGCCUGGGGAGUACGGCCGCAAGGUUAAAACUCAAAUGAAUUGACGGGGGCCCGCACAAGCGGUGGAGCAUGUGGUUUAAUUCGAUGCAACGCGAAGAACCUUACCUGGUCUUGACAUCCACGGAAGUUUUCAGAGAUGAGAAUGUGCCUUCGGGAACCGUGAGACAGGUGCUGCAUGGCUGUCGUCAGCUCGUGUUGUGAAAUGUUGGGUUAAGUCCCGCAACGAGCGCAACCCUUAUCCUUUGUUGCCAGCGGUCCGGCCGGGAACUCAAAGGAGACUGCCAGUGAUAAACUGGAGGAAGGUGGGGAUGACGUCAAGUCAUCAUGGCCCUUACGACCAGGGCUACACACGUGCUACAAUGGCGCAUACAAAGAGAAGCGACCUCGCGAGAGCAAGCGGACCUCAUAAAGUGCGUCGUAGUCCGGAUUGGAGUCUGCAACUCGACUCCAUGAAGUCGGAAUCGCUAGUAAUCGUGGAUCAGAAUGCCACGGUGAAUACGUUCCCGGGCCUUGUACACACCGCCCGUCACACCAUGGGAGUGGGUUGCAAAAGAAGUAGGUAGCUUAACCUUCGGGAGGGCGCUUACCACUUUGUGAUUCAUGACUGGGGUGAAGUCGUAACAAGGUAACCGUAGGGGAACCUGCGGUUGGAUCAC
rnacentral:rRNA from 1 species